rnacentral:rRNA from 1 species
AGUGAACGCUGGCGGUAGGCCUAACACUUGCAAGUCGAACGGGAGCACAGUAAGAGCUUGCUCUUACGGGUGGCGAGUGGCGGACGGGUGCGGAAUACAUCGGAAUCUACUUUUUCGUGGGGGAUAAAGUAGGGGAACUUACGCUAAUAACGCAUACGACCUACGGGUGAAAGCAGGGGAUCUUCGGACCUUGCGCGAUUGAAUGAUCCGAUGUCGGAUUAGCUAGUUGGCGGGGUAAAGGCACACCAAGGCGACGAUCCGUAGCUGGUCUGAGAGGAUGAUCAGCCACACUGGAACUGAGACACGGUCCAGACUCCUACGGGAGGCAGCAGUGGGGAAUAUUGGACAAUGGGCGCAAGCCUGAUCCAGCCAUACCGCGUGGGUGAAGAAGGCCUUCGGGUUGUAAAGCCCUUUUGUUGGGAAAGAAAAGCAGCAGGUUAAUACCCCGCUGUUCUGACGGUACCCAAAGAAUAAGCACCGGCUAACUUCGUG